AUGCUCUCAGCAGAAGACACUUUGA
rnacentral:piRNA from 1 species